UACGUAGGGUGCGAGCGUUGCCCGGAUUUAUUGGGCGUAAAGGGCGCGUAGGCGGCCACGCACGUCCGUUGUGAAAUCGCCCGGCUCAACUGGGCGGGGUCAGCGGAUACGGUGUGGCUCGAGCAAGCUAGGGGGCAAUGGAACUCCCGGUGUAGUGGUGGAAUGCGUAGAUAUCGGGAGGAACACCAGUGGCGAAGGCGACUUCCUGGCCUGUUCUUGACGCUGAGGCGCGAAAGCUAGGGGAGCAAACGGG
rnacentral:rRNA from 1 species